rnacentral:rRNA from 1 species
UACGUAGGGGGCAAGCGUUGUCCGGAUUUAUUGGGCGUAAAGAGCGUGUAGGCGGCCUGACAGGUCUGCUGUGAAAACUCGAGGCUCAACCUCGAGAUGUCGGCGGAAACCGUCUGGCUAGAGUCCGGAAGAGGAGAGUGGAAUUCCUGGUGUAGCGGUGAAAUGCGCAGAUAUCAGGAAGAACACCUAUGGCGAAAGCGGCUCUCUGGAACGGUACUGACGCUGAGACGCGAAAGCGUGGGGAGCGAACAGG